AGAAGCUUUUUUAGCGUUCUCCUCUCAGACACCUCCUCCAGGUUCUCAAGUCUGACACCCAGGACAGAACCGGCCUUUCUAAUCAGUUUGUUCAGCCUGUUGGCAUCAGCUGUCUUCACCCCACUUCCCCAGCACACAGCUGCAAAGAACACGACGCUCUCCAACACCGAGUGAUAGAACAUGGUCAGCAUUUUCCUACCAACAUUGAAGGACUUGAGUCGCCUCAGUAGGAAAAGCCGACUCUGCCCUUUUUUGUAGAUAGCAUUGGUGUUCUUGGUCCAGUCCAGUUUACAGUCCAAGUGUACCCCCAGGUACCGGUAGUCCUCAACGAUCUCCACGUCAGCCCCUCUGAUGGUGACAGGGGUAGGAGGAGGAGCCUGCUUCCUAAAGUCCAUAAUCAGUUCCUUUGUCUUUGUGAUAUUAAGUUGUAGGUGGUUUAGCUCACACCACUCGACAAAGCUGUCCACCACACUCCUGUACUCCUCCUGUCCAUCCCUGAUACAGCCCACGAUGGCAGAGUCAUCUGAGAAUUUCUGCAGAUGGCAUGACUGAGACUUAUACCUGAAGUCAGAUGUGUAGAGGGUGAAGAGGAAGGGUGAUAGGACCGUCCCCUGCGGCGCCCCUGUGCUGCUCAGGAUGUUAUCUGAGCGGCAGCUCUUCAGUCGGACAUGCUGUGGUCGACUUGUUAAAUAGUCCGUAAUCCAACCUACCAGUGGGGCGUCCACCUGCAUUUCCGUGAGCUUAUUCCCCAGCAGUGAUGGUCUGAUCGUGUUAAAAGCACUAGAGAAGUCAAAGAACAUGACCCUCACAGUGCUCCCAACAAUGUCCAGAUGAGAAUAAGCCUGGUCCAGCAGGUAGAUGAGGGCAUCCUCCACACCGAUACGAGGUUGAUAAGCAAACUGCAGGGGGUCCAGCCAAGGCUCCACCAGCAGCCGCAGAUGUUUUAGGACGAGUCUCUCCAGCGUCUUCAUGACAUGGUCUCGGGGCAGAUGGAACCUAUUCCAGCUACAGAGAGCGAGAGGCAUGUCUCUGGUCUCCAUACUGCCUGUGCCAUGCUUGGAUAAAACUCCACAGCACUGUACCAUAGAGGGGCAGAGGGGCAGGUCGGAGUACAUCAUAUCUGCCCCAUUCACCCACAGGCAUUCACCAGCCAGGGAAGCGCAGACCUGUCCACACCUACAGGGAAGAAGGAGCGAGUGAAGUUCAGCAAAAG
ensembl:lncRNA